AGUGAACGCUGGCGGUAGGCCUAACACAUGCAAGUCGAACGGCAGCACAGUAAGAGCUUGCUCUUACGGGUGGCGAGUGGCGGACGGGUGAGGAAUACAUCGGAAUCUACUUUUUCGUGGGGGAUAACGUAGGGAAACUUACGCUAAUACCGCAUACGACCUACGGGUGAAAGCAGGGGAUCUUCGGACCUUGCGCGAUUGAAUGAGCCGAUGUCGGAUUAGCUAGUUGGCGGGGUAAAGGCCCACCAAGGCGACGAUCCGUAGCUGGUCUGAGAGGAUGAUCAGCCACACUGGAACUUAGACCCGGUCCAGACUCCUACGGGAGGCAGCAGUGGGGAAUAUUGGACAAUGGGCGCAAGCCUGAUCCAGCCAUACCGCGUGGGUUAAGAAGGCCUUCGGGUUGUAAAGCCCUUUUGUUGGGAAAGAAAAGCAGCAGGUUAAUACCCCGCUGUUCUGACGGUACCCAAAGAAUAAGCACCGGCUAACUUCGUG
rnacentral:rRNA from 1 species